rnacentral:rRNA from 1 species
AACUCAAAUGAAUUGACGGGGGCCCGCACAAGCGGUGGAGCAUGUGGUUUAAUUCGAUGCAACGCGAAGAACCUUACCUGGUCUUGACAUCCACAGAACUUUCCAGAGAUGGAUUGGUGCCUUCGGGAACUGUGAGACAGGUGCUGCAUGGCUGUCGUCAGCUCGUGUUGUGAAAUGUUGGGUUAAGUCCCGCAACGAGCGCAACCCUCAUCCUUUGUUGCCAGCGGUCCGGCCGGGAACUCAAAGGAGACUGCCAGUGAUAAACUGGAGGAAGGUGGGGAUGACGUCAAGUCAUCAUGGCCCUUACGACCAGGGCUACACACGUGCUACAAUGGCGCAUACAAAGAGAAGCGACCUCGCGAGAGCAAGCGGACCUCAUAAAGUGCGUCGUAGUCCGGAUUGGAGUCUGCAACUCGACUCCAUGAAGUCGGAAUCGCUAGUAAUCGUGGAUCAGAAUGCCACGGUGAAUACGUUCCCGGGCCUUGUACACACCGCCCGUCACACCAUGGGAGUGGGUUGCAAAAGAAGUAGGUAGCUUAACCUUCGGGAGGGCGCUUACCACUUUGUGAUUCAUGACUGGGGUGAAGUCGUAACAAGGUA